UAGGGAAUCUUCGGCAAUGGGGCAACCCUGACCGAGCAACGCCGCGUGAGUGAAGAAGGUUUUCGGAUCGUAAAACUCUGUUGUUAGAGAAGAAUGUGUAGGAGAGUAAAAAGUUCUUACAGUGACGGUAUCUAACCAGAAAGGGACGGCUAACUACGUGCCAGAGCCGCGGUAAUCGUAGGUCCCAAGCGUUGUCCGGAUUUAUCGGGCGUAAAGCGAGCGCAGGUGGUUUAAUAAGUCUGAUGUAAAAGGCAGUGGCUCAACCAUUGUAUGCAUUGGAAACUGUUAGACUUGAGUACAGUAGAGGAGAGUGG
rnacentral:rRNA from 1 species